UACGGAGGGGGCUAGCGUUGUUCGGAAUUACUGGGCGUAAAGCGCACGUAGGCGGCUUUGUAAGUUAGAGGUGAAAGCCCAGGGCUUAACCCUGGAAUUGCCUUUAAGACUGCAUCGCUAGAAUCGUGGAGAGGUGAGUGGAAUUCCGAGUGUAGCGGUGAAAUGCGUAGAUAUUGGGAGGAACACCAGUGGCGAAGGCGGCUCACUGGACCGGAACUGACGCUGAGGCGCGAAAGCGUGGGGAGCAAACGGG
rnacentral:rRNA from 1 species